AUUCAGCUGAUGAGUUCCAAGUAGGACGAAACGCGUGUCCUGGAU
rnacentral:hammerhead_ribozyme from 1 species